CGGCGGACGGGUGAGUAACGCGUGGGUAACUACCCUGUACACACGGAUAACAUACCGAAAGGUAUGCUAAUACGGGAUAAUAUAUUUGAGAGGCAUCUCUUGAAUAUCAAAGGUGAGCCAGUACAGGAUGGACCCGCGUCUGACUAGCUAGUUGGUAAGGUAACGGCUUACCAAGGCGACGAUCAGUAGCCGACCUGAGAGGGUGAUCGGCCACAUUGGAACUGAGACACGGUCCAA
rnacentral:rRNA from 1 species